rnacentral:rRNA from 1 species
GCGGCAAAAGCUCAAAUUUGAAAUCUGGCGUCUUUGGCGUCCGAGUUGUAAUUUGAAGAAGGUAUCUUUGGGCCCGGCUCUUGUCUAUGUUCCUUGGAACAGGACGUCACAGAGGGUGAGAAUCCCGUGCGAUGAGAUGACCCGGGUCUGUGUAAAGUUCCUUCGACGAGUCGAGUUGUUUGGGAAUGCAGCUCUAAGUGGGUGGUAAAUUCCAUCUAAAGCUAAAUAUUGGCGAGAGACCGAUAGCGAACAAGUACAGUGAUGGAAAGAUGAAAAGAACUUUGAAAAGAGAGUGAAAAAGUACGUGAAAUUGUUGAAAGGGAAGGGCUUGAGAUCAGACUUGGUAUUUUGCAUGCUGCUCUCUCGGGGGCGGCCGCUGCGGUUUACCGGGCCAGCAUCGGUUUGGAGCGGCAGGAUAAUGGCGGAGGAAUGUGGCACGGCUUCUGCUGUGUGUUAUAGCCUCUGACGAUGCUGCCAGCCUAGACCGAGGACUGCGGUUUUUAACCUAGGAUGUUGGCAUAAUGAUCUUAAGUCGCCCGUCUUGAAACACGGACC